ACGUAUCUGCAUAAACAAACAAUAUAAAUACUCUUUCUCUGCCACAUUGAUUGCUUUCAGACACGAAAAAAAAAAGCUCUCUCGAAGGAAUACGCAAAUCCAUCUCCUUCCUUCCUUCGCGUAAGCUUUUCUUCAGGUUAAAAUGGGAGACAAUCACGGUGACGACAAGAACAUUGAGAUAUGGAAGAUUAAGAAGCUCAUCAAGUCCCUUGAAGCUGCCAGGGGUAAUGGAACCAGCAUGAUCUCACUCAUCAUGCCUCCGCGUGAUCAGGUCUCUCGUGUCACCAAGAUGUUGGGCGAUGAGUAUGGAACUGCUUCCAACAUCAAGAGCAGAGUCAAUCGCCAGUCUGUUCUGGGUGCCAUCACUUCUGCGCAGCAAAGGCUGAAACUUUACAACAGGGUCCCUCCCAACGGUUUAGUUCUCUACACUGGAACCAUUGUCAACGACGAAGGCAAGGAGAAGAAGGUUACAAUUGACUUUGAGCCUUUCAAGCCCAUCAACAACACUCUCUACCUCUGUGACAACAAGUUUCACACCGAAGCUCUGAAUGAACUGCUGGAGUCUGAUGACAAGUUUGGUUUCAUUGUGAUGGACGGGAACGGGACUCUCUUUGGGACUUUGAGCGGUAACACCCGCGAGGUGCUCCACAAGUUCUCUGUUGAUCUUCCGAAGAAGCACGGGAGAGGAGGGCAGUCUGCUCUUCGGUUUGCGCGUCUGCGUAUGGAGAAGCGUCACAACUACGUGAGGAAAACCGCUGAGCUCGCCACGCAGUACUACAUCAACCCUGCGACGAGUCAGCCUAAUGUGUCUGGUCUGAUUCUCGCCGGUUCAGCCGAUUUCAAGACCGAGCUGAGCCAGUCUGACAUGUUUGAUCCCCGGCUUGCUGCAAAGAUACUGAACGUGGUGGAUGUAUCGUACGGUGGAGAAAACGGUUUCAAUCAGGCUAUCGAGCUUUCAUCUGAGAUACUUGCCAACGUGAAGUUCAUCCAGGAGAAGCGUUUGAUAGGGAAGUACUUUGAGGAGAUAAGCCAGGACACGGGGAAGUAUGUGUUCGGAGUGGAGGACACUUUGAACGCUUUGGAUUCCGGUGCUGUUGAGACGCUAAUCGUUUGGGAGAAUCUUGACAUCAACAGAUACGUGUUGAAGAACAGCGCAACUGGUGAAACUGUGAUUAAGCAUCUGAACAAGGAGCAGGAAGCCAACACUGAGAACUUCAAAGUCGACAAUAACGACUUGGACGUGGAGGAUAAGAUGUCGCUGCUGGAGUGGCUGGCUAACGAGUACAAGCGUUUCGGCUGUGCGCUGGAGUUUGUGACGAACAAGUCGCAGGAAGGGUCUCAGUUUUGCAGAGGGUUUGGAGGAAUAGGAGGGAUACUUCGUUACCAGCUUGACAUGACGGCCUUUGAUGAGGAUUUGGAUGUUUAUGAUGAUGAUGAAUCUGAAUAGCAAUCAAUCAGAUCAUCAACGUCGCUGGUUCAGGGAUAUGGUCCACCACCAAGCUUGAACCAGCCUGCGUGGGCUAUCGAGGUCGCGCUGAAGAAACUGGAAAUUAAGUGAAGAAGCAUCUUUUCGAAAGGUGAAGAAUGAAGAAACUGGUGGAGAGUGAAGAAGUCUUGCUAUGGUUUUACCUUUGUUAUGUCUGAGACAUCUAUCGUGGAGUUUUUUUCUUUCUUCUUUUGGUUGUUUUUCUUAUUGACUAGUAUGAUACUACUCUCUGUGUGAGAGGAAACGUUUAGUGAUUUGGGUUUUGGUAUUUUCUCAAUUGCAUCACAUUAUGUUUUAUGACUUUGGAUUUGUUGGAUAAGUUGGGGACGACCAACACUUACUCUA